rnacentral:rRNA from 1 species
AGGAUGAACGCUAGCUACAGGCUUAACACAUGCAAGUCGAGGGGCAGCAUGGUCUUAGCUUGCUAAGGCCGAUGGCGACCGGCGCACGGGUGAGUAACACGUAUCCAACCUGCCGUCUACUCUUGGACAGCCUUCUGAAAGGAAGAUUAAUACAAGAUGGCAUCAUGAGUCCGCAUGUUCACAUGAUUAAAGGUAUUCCGGUAGACGAUGGGGAUGCGUUCCAUUAGAUAGUAGGCGGGGUAACGGCCCACCUAGUCUUCGAUGGAUAGGGGUUCUGAGAGGAAGGUCCCCCACAUUGGAACUGAGACACGGUCCAAACUCCUACGGGAGGCAGCAGUGAGGAAUAUUGGUCAAUGGGCGAGAGCCUGAACCAGCCAAGUAGCGUGAAGGAUGACUGCCCUAUGGGUUGUAAACUUCUUUUAUAAAGGAAUAAAGUCGGGUAUGGAUACCCGUUUGCAUGUACUUUAUGAAUAAGGAUCGGCUAACUCCGUGCCAGCAGCCGCGGUAAUACGGAGGAUCCGAGCGUUAUCCGGAUUUAUUGGGUUUAAAGGGAGCGUAGAUGGAUGUUUAAGUCAGUUGUGAAAGUUUGCGGCUCAACCGUAAAAUUGCAGUUGAUACUGGAUAUCUUGAGUGCAGUUGAGGCAGGCGGAAUUCGUGGUGUAGCGGUGAAAUGCUUAGAUAUCACGAAGAACUCCGAUUGCGAAGGCAGCCUGCUAAGCUGCAACUGACAUUGAGGCUCGAAAGUGUGGGUAUCAAACAGGAUUAGAUACCCUGGUAGUCCACACGGUAAACGAUGAAUACUCGCUGUUUGCGAUAUACUGCAAGCGGCCAAGCGAAAGCGUUAAGUAUUCCACCUGGGGAGUACGCCGGCAACGGUGAAACUCAAAGGAAUUGACGGGGGCCCGCACAAGCGGAGGAACAUGUGGUUUAAUUCGAUGAUACGCGAGGAACCUUACCCGGGCUUAAAUUGCAGAUGAAUUACGGUGAAAGCCGUAAGCCGCAAGGCAUCUGUGAAGGUGCUGCAUGGUUGUCGUCAGCUCGUGCCGUGAGGUGUCGGCUUAAGUGCCAUAACGAGCGCAACCCUUGUUGUCAGUUACUAACAGGUUCCGCUGAGGACUCUGACAAGACUGCCAUCGUAAGAUGUGAGGAAGGUGGGGAUGACGUCAAAUCAGCACGGCCCUUACGUCCGGGGCUACACACGUGUUACAAUGGGGGGUACAGAGGGCCGCUACCACGCGAGUGGAUGCCAAUCCCCAAAACCUCUCUCAGUUCGGACUGGAGUCUGCAACCCGACUCCACGAAGCUGGAUUCGCUAGUAAUCGCGCAUCAGCCACGGCGCGGUGAAUACGUUCCCGGGCCUUGUACACACCGCCCGUCAAGCCAUGGGAGCCGGGGGUACCUGAAGUGCGUAACCGCGAGGAGCGCCCUAGGGUAAAACUG